CGGACUAUUUCAGAAUCUAUGUUGUUUAUUCCUUUGUUGUGUGUUCACAAACACCCCCAUUAGAGUUUAUUUUGUGAUUUCUCCGCUGGGUUUUCUGUUUUGAUGCAGUGUUUUUGAUUUUCUUAGUGUCAUUAAAGGUAUCGUUACUUUACGUUUUUGGAGGCGGUCUUUGAACGCCUCUCGAGUCGAACGGCGGAAGAGAAGGCACGUAGUAGGACAGAGACGUGUCUGUAUUUAUUGAGAGUGUUAAAAGCAUUAAUAAAUUGGACGUUUUAAAAACCCAACACUACAGCUCUCCUUGUUUCGGAGCUGCAACAUGUAGUAGUUCUUUCUUU